CCCUUAGAUGUUCUGGGCCGCACGCGCGCUACACUGAUGCAUUCAACGAGUCUAAAACCUGGUCUGAUAGGGCUGGGUAAUCUUUUGAAAGUGCAUCGUGAUUGGGAUAGAUGAUUGCAAUUCUUCAUCUUCAACGAGGAAUGCCUAGUAAACGCAAGUCAUCAGCUUGCAUUGAUUACGUCCCUGCCCUUUGUACACACCGCCCGUCGCUCCUACCGAUUGAAUGAUCCGAUGAAUACCAUGGAUUGAGAGUACGAAUAGGUUCGCUUAUUUCUGCUGCUCGAGAAGUGGAGUAAAUCUUNUNAUUUAUNGGAAGGAGAANUCGUANCA
rnacentral:rRNA from 1 species